GCCCGGAUGGCGGAAUUGGUAGACGCGCUGGUCUCAAACACCAGUGGCAGCAAUGCUGUGUGGGUUCAAUUCCCACUCCGGGUACCA
rnacentral:tRNA from 1 species